rnacentral:rRNA from 1 species
UGCGCAGGCGGGGAAGUAAGUCAUCGGUGAAAUCUCACGGCUUAACCGUGAAACUGCCGCUGAUACUGCUUCUCUUGAGUUCGGGAGAGGGUGGUGGAAUUCCUGGUGUAGCGGUGAAAUGCGUAGAUAUCAGGAAGAACACCAGUGGCGAAGGCGGCCACCUGGCCCGACACUGACGCUCAUGCACGAAAGCGUGGGGAUCAAACA